rnacentral:rRNA from 1 species
CCUACGGGAGGCAGCAGUGAGGAAUAUUGGUCAAUGGCCGCAGGGCUGAACCAGCCAAGUCGCGUGAGGGAUGACGGUCCUAUGGAUUGUAAACCUCUUUUGUCAGGGAGCAAAGGGCGCCACGUGUGGCGCUUUGCGAGUACCUGAAGAAAAAGCAUCGGCUAACUCCGUGCCAGUAGCCGCGGUAAUACGGAGGUUGCGAGCGUUAUCCGGAUUUAUUGGGUGUAAAGGGUGCGCAGGCGGAAUGUCAAGUCAGCGGUAAAAUUUCGGGGCUCAACCCCGUCGUGCCGUUGAAACUGGCGUUCUUGAGUGAGCGAGAAGUAUGCGGAAUGCGUGGUGUAGCGGUGAAAUGCAUAGAGAUCACGCAGAACUCCGAUUGCGAAGGCAGCAUACCGGCGCUCAACUGACGCUCAUGCACGAAAGCGUGGGUAUCGAACAGGAUUAGAUACCCUUGUAGUC